UAGAGACUGACAGUAUUAUAGUGUGUGACUCACCCGUUACAAACAUUUACAUAAUCACUAAUUACUAGUUAUGUUUCUGUUUAUUAUGUUAAUCAUAUUGACAUCUGUGCAUGGAAUAUCAAAUAUUUCAGAACAGGUAAUGAAUGUGGAGUCGAAUUAAAUGUCUUCGGCUCAAUGACCUUAAUGAUCCUGGAUGUUCUCGUGGAAGAAAUGUAGACAAUCUGACCAGUCCAGUUGACUUAGAUCUACUUCCCCUUGAUGAUUUCCUCCAACAGAAGUAUCAAGCAGGCAGUGAGGAAAACACGACAUUCAGUCAAUAUUUUAAUUUUUUCUGAAACUCUAGUGAAUUAAAAGAGAAACAAAUAA